GACGAACGCUGGCGGCGUGCUUAACACAUGCAAGUCGAACGGAAAGGCCCUGCUUUUGUGGGGUGCUCGAGUGGCGAACGGGUGAGUAACACGUGAGUAACCUGCCCUUGACUUUGGGAUAACUUCAGGAAACUGGGGCUAAUACCGGAUAGGAGCUCCUGCUGCAUGGUGGGGGUUGGAAAGUUUCGGCGGUUGGGGAUGGACUCGCGGCUUAUCAGCUUGUUGGUGGUGUAGUGGCUUACCAAGGCUUUGACGGGUAGCCGGCCUGAGAGGGUGACCGGCGACAUUGGGACUGAGAUACGGCCCAGACUCCUACGGGAGGCAGCAGUGGGGAAUAUUGCACAAUGGGCGGAAGCCUGAUGCAGAAACGCCGCGUGCGGGAUGACGGCCUUCGGGUUGUAAACCGCUUUCGCCUGUGACGAAGCGUGAGUGACGGUAAUGGGUAAAGAAGCACCGGCUAACUACGUG
rnacentral:rRNA from 1 species